AAACAUUAGAUCCAAGACAAUAAUGGACUAAUUCUAUGAAACCUUUAACAUUAGACUCACAGACUUUCUUUCACUAACAUUCAUACACCUGUUAUGCAUAUGCUAAUAUUAAGUGCAGGGUAGUCAAGCUAACACUCAAAGUUGACAACCUUCAGAACCCUUAAACUGAUAUCAUUUGAGCAAAAGUAUUGAUUCUUCAAGAACAUACAACGCACAGGUACAUCAAAGCUAAUUAUAACAUUGGUUUCAGCACAUGAAACUAGUGAAUCAAGCAGUAAUAUGUCAUGUCAUUAGACCCCUAAUAAUGAACUAGAAAUCUAUUCGAAUACACUUGAAGCUAAAGAAGUAAACUGAAAGUCCAAACUUACGAUUACAAACAACUACAUAACAUUCAAUGUAAUUAUACCAAGUUCAGUUAAAACUGUAAACAAACUAAUUGAUAAACAUCAAGCCAUAACAAGACUACUAAGACCAGACUUUAAAGUGAGGCUAGAAUUUAGACAUUGGAACACCAUCUUUCAUUCAACAUUCACAUUUCCACUCCAAGGAUUCGAAAAUGUAUCUGGAUACAACCAAAAACAGCUACAGAAUUUCAAAAGAGGAGGGUGAGAUCAGCAGUAACUUAGCAGCAGAAACAUCAAUCUCAGUCCAUAUUUGGAAUCCAAAACCAGCAAAGUAUUAGAUCAUCUUUCAAAUCCCAGAAAAUCAGCCAAUGUAACAGUACUUUCUCUCUUUUUUUCCUGUGUUUUCUUGUUAAUUUCCUAACUCUAGCAAUGUAUAUUCCCCAGUCGUUUAUGAAUUUUUAGGUUUCUGAUCUCUGCCUUGAAAAUCAAGGAAAGGGGACCUUUAUAGAGGGGUUUUAGGGCAUCAGUAGUGAAUUUUCAAACUUACCAUUUACCCCAUGCCCCAAAUUUUAUCUAUCCAAUUCAGACCCCAAUUUAAAACUUGUUUGUAAAUCUACCCCCUUCCCCACCUUUCUGGAAGUUUCCCAGGCGGUUUUAAAAGAUUCCCCUUAUUAAACUCCCCCAAAUACCCUUAAGACUUACUAAUUACCUUCACACUAGACCUUGAACCAAACUGCCCAAGUACCUUUGGGCCUCUGCAACACCGAGCUUUAAACAGCUCUUUGGGCUUCUUGCAUUUAGCAAGCCCAAGUUAAGGUUUAGGCCAAUGAAUUCCCAAGCAAACUAAAAAACCCAAAAUAACUCCAUUUCUGAAUUUUAGACAUGAAAUCUUUACAUGAAGCAGAAAUAAUAAAAGGAAAAAGUAAAACUAGCAAAUACUAAUCAGAGAAAUUAAUCUAAACAUUAUAAACUAAAAUGACUCAAUCCCAAUCAUGCAAACAAAACUAUUUAAAGCAGAAAAACAAGAAAGAAAAAGAGAGGAAUCUGAAAUAUAUGAAGAUGAGAAUAAAACAAAAGACAGAAAGAAAGAAAAAUGGACGGAAAUACCUAGAAUAGGCAAAUGAACAGGGCUUGACAAACCUCAGGCAAACUUCGAUUUGAACCGAAAUUGGCAUCAAUCGCGUGUUCUCGUCGAGAACAGACGAACAAUACCAAUUUCAGCCCUAAUCGUUCUUGGAAACUCGAAUACUUGAGAGAUUUUUCUUUUUCUUUUUCUUCUUCUUCUUUUUAAGAUCCAAAACUGGCCGGAUUUGGUGGGGAUUUUGGGAGAUGUGGUGGUGGAUUGGGAAUCAGGGGUGGGUGAUGGUUGUGUGGUAGGGUUUUAGGGUCGAUUGGGCUCCGCCGCCGGCCGGUGGAAGCUUAGGAGUUUCAGGGCAGCGGGCUAGGGUUCUUGACUUUGAGAGAGAUGAAGGAAGUGAAGUGAAGAAGGUACUAGGUUGUUCUGAACGGUGUUUGAACAAUUUUAAAUGAAAAUGGGGGAAGUAUCAG
rnacentral:lncRNA from 1 species